GAACUUAACUAGUCACAUAAGAAGCAGGGAAUUCGCAAAACCAAGUUCAGACUUAUAGAACCGGAAGCAGAGGAGCAUAACAGCAACAGGAACAGUGGAGAGAAAAACAAUAUUCCUCUUUACAAUUGAGAGAGAGAAAGAAGUCUUCAACUUAGUUCCAGAUGGUCUUCUUCACGAGUUCGCUUGCACAGCCAACUCCAGU
rnacentral:lncRNA from 1 species